GAUGAAGAACGCAGCGAAAUGCGAUAAGUAAUGUGAAUUGCAGAAUUCAGUGAAUCAUCGAAUCUUUGAACGCACCUUGCGCUCCCUGGUAUUCCGGGGAGCACGCCUGUUCGAGUGUCGCGAAAUUCUUCAAGCCUUGGAUGGAUUUUUUUUUGUCUGUCCUUGGGCUUGGUUGUUGGGCUCUGCCGUGUCCUUCAUUGGGACGGCUGGCCUUAAAAGCAUUAGCCGAUCCUCUUGUGGUACUGGUUCUACUCAGCGUGAUAACAAUCUGAUCGUUGAGGACAUCUUCUGGAUGGCCAGUCAUCAUUUGGGUUGCUUCUAAACCGGUUUCGCAGAUUGCUCAAUCUGUGUGCCACUUUUCAGCUUUGACCUCGAAUCAGGUGGGACUACCCGCUGAACUUAAGCAUAUCAAUAAGCGGAGGA
rnacentral:misc_RNA from 1 species